rnacentral:rRNA from 1 species
CUCAAAGGAAUUGACGGGACCCGCACAAGCGGUGGAUGAUGUGGUUUAAUUCGAUGCAACGCGAAAAACCCUACCUACCCUUGACAUGCCAGAACUUGCCAGAGAUGGCUUGGUGCUCGAAAGAGAGCCUGGACACAGGUGCUGCAUGGCCGUCGUCAGCUCGCGUCGUGAGAUGUUGGGUUAAGUCCCGCAACGAGCGCAACCCUUGUCAUUAGUUGCUACGAAAGGGCACUCUAAUGAGACUGCCGGUGACAAACCGGAGGAAGGUGGGGAUGACGUCAGGUCAUCAUGGCCCUUAUGGGUAGGGCUACACACGUCAUACAAUGGCCGGUACAGAGGGCUGCCAACCCGCGAGGGGGAGCCAAUCCCAGAAAACCGGUCGUAGUCCGGAUCGCAGUCUGCAACUCGACUGCGUGAAGUCGGAAUCGCUAGUAAUCGCGGAUCAGCUUGCCGCGGUGAAUACGUUCCCGGGUCUUGUACACACCGCCCGUCACACCAUGGGAGCGGGUUCUGCCAGAAGUAGUUAGCCUAACCGCAAGGGGGGCGAUUACCACGGCAGGGUUCGUGACUGGGGUGAAGUCGUAACAAGGUAGCCGUAUCGGAAGGUGCGGCUGGAUCACCUCCUU